AGCGAACGCUGGCGGCAGGCUUAACACAUGCAAGUCGAGCGGCCGUAGCAAUACGGCAGCGGCAGACGGGAGAGUAACACGUGGGAACGUACCCUUCAGUACGGAACAACCAAGGGAAACUUUGGCUAAUACCGUAUACGUCCGUAAGGAGAAAGAUUUAUCGCUGAAGGAUCGGCCCGCGUCCAAUUAGCUAGUUGGUGAGGUAACGGCUCACCAAGGCGACGAUCAGUAGCUGGUCUGAGAGGAUGAUCAGCCUCACUGGGACUGAGACACGGCCCAGACUCGUACGGGAGGCAGCAGUGGGGAAUAUUGAAAAAGGGGCGAAAGCCUGAUCCAGCCAUGCCGCGUGGAGGAUGAAGGCCCUAGGGUUGUAAAGUCCUUUUAACGGGGAAGAUAAUGACGGUACCCGUAGAAUAAGCCCCGGCUAACUUCGUGCCAGCCGCCGCGGUAA
rnacentral:rRNA from 1 species